rnacentral:rRNA from 1 species
CAGCCGCCGCGGGAAUACGUAGGGUGCAAGCGUUGUCCGGAAUUAUUGGGCGUAAAGAGCUCGUAGGCGGUUUGUCGCGUCUGCUGUGAAAACUGGAGGCUCAACCUCCAGCCUGCAGUGGGUACGGGCAGACUAGAGUGCGGUAGGGGAGAUUGGAAUUCCUGGUGUAGCGGUGGAAUGCGCAGAUAUCAGGAGGAACACCGAUGGCGAAGGCAGAUCUCUGGGCCGUAACUGACGCUGAGGAGCGAAAGCGUGGGGAGCGAACAGGAUUAGAUACCCCCGUAGUCCCUGUCUCUUAUAC